GAAAAUGUGGGAACUCAUAUAAGCCGAACGGG
rnacentral:sRNA from 1 species